rnacentral:misc_RNA from 1 species
AGAAAAGCCGCAUCGUCUCUCCCUUAGUGUGUGUCAAGGACAAACAGCAAUACUUUUCCAACCUAGCAAUCGAUCAUGCCCACCUCGAAGGAGGCCGCGGAUCAGAGUCGAAAAUUCGGCUUUAAAGAAACGCGUGAGCAGUACCAGCAGCGGAAGAGGCAAGAAAAGCAAUUGAAAUGGACGGUAAGGCUAUCGAGAGAGGACCUCGGAAAACUGAAAAUCGAAUUGGAGUCCCUGAAGAGAGCCCGUUUUUUGGCACCUCAACAAAACGAACGCAAGCGCCUUGUGCAGCGCAUGAUUCGAGACCUCGAGGCAGCAGAAAACAAGGAGCCCGAGGAGGAGACACCUGUUGUAGCUACAACGCCGCCGGCCGUAGACUCAGACUCGGAUGACGAUAUUUUUUUUGCGAAAGGCACGCUCGUAAAUGACGAGCACAAGCGUCUGUUUAUCCCGCGCUCGAUCCGCAGGAAGCCAGAGGAGAAAAACUGUGAAAAAACUGCUCAGCAGCUUGCUGGCGAGGCCGAAAAAGAGCUUCUUGCUGCUGUGCACGACGAUGACGACAUCGAUUCAUUUCUCGAUUCUCUCCAAUGAUCAUGUGAAACCUUCUGCAUCCCUCCUCUAGCAAGACAGCACUCGCUAGGAGCCUCGCGAAAAACAAUUCUCAUCGCUGCUAUUAAGCACGUGCAAGAACCCAACAGAGGACAAUAGACUCAUGAGUUUGCUUUUUGGGUGAAGGUUUACUAUUCUCAGCGGACGACGGAUUCCUUGCAGCGAAGUAUGAGCUCACUAGAUCGAAAAAGAAGGGAAAAAAGAUGCAAGCUUUUGAACGUGUGCCUUUUGCUAUUGGCCCCGCUUCAACCUGGAAAACAUCUACCAAGUUGGCUUACCUCUCUUGACAUUGCUUGCGCGCUUGAUAAUUUCGGCUUCAGCGAGAGUCUGUCUCACUUGUAGAAUCUGUCUUUGGCUUUCCAUUGGCUGUCGCAUAUGCAAAGGUUCUCUCGUUUUUUCUAACAGCAUCAAAGCAAGACGUUUUUUGUUCGUUUGCGUUGCUAUCAUUCUCUCCGGCUCAUCUUGUCUCUCCCCUUCUCAACCUUUCUUUUUAUGGAUCUUGGCAUGUGUCUCUUAACACGGGCAUCUACAUAUCGCCGCAAUGGCGGUGAGCUAG